AAACCCGCCUGACCACCGCUGCGAGAAUGGCAGACACUUCAAACGCCACGAAGGAUAUUCCUUCUUCUUUAGUUUUUGAGGCCCUGCACUCGAGGGUGACGGUGGAAACCGUCGAGGGUGAUCUGUACAAAGGAACACUGGCAGCUUUUGAUGUUUCACGAGGAAACGUUGAGCUGGUUGAUGUUCGGCACCACGCAAAAGAUUCCAGUUUCGGGUUUUACGAGCGGGUUACUGUUCGUGGCUCAAAAAUACGAAUCAUUUUACUGCCUCCAGAGAUGAAGGCAGCGCCCUCUCUGCAGUGGCGCCGAGAGUCGGUGCAACAGGAACUCAAGAAGUCGCUGAAGCACGUACCUGCCCUCCGACCAGUCGUGCCCGCCCCACGACCGCUUCGCAUCAAGAAGGCACAACCCAAGAACGACAAGAGCAAGCAGCUGCGCAAAAAAUUGCGCUGAUUAAGGUUCUUCGACUGCUUCUAUUUCGGUAUUCUCACUGAAUCUUUCCAAGUAAGUUCCUGCCUGUAGACUGCUUACCGGUAUGUUUGUUGAAUGGUAUAGGUUUCUUUCUCGGCAGCACGGACAUACUGGAUUAUUGAGGCAGUGAGUAGCUUUUGUUUUUUGUUGUUGCUUUCUCCUCUAUCGUGGUAGCGCUGCUGUAGCUACUAUUGUCUGGAGGACUUUGUCGCUGUGAAUGUCGGGUUGUAAGCCCUGAUUCGCCGUUUGUUAUCCCGAGUGAGACUUUCGGCUAGAUUCCACUGUAAAAAAAAAAACUAUUCUGUUGAAAAAGCAUGAAAUUACCACCAGUCCGUUCUGCGCUGUGCGGUCUCUUUCUUUUCGUUCCCCCAAAUGUGCUUUCCAUGUUAUAUAUAUAUAUAUUCUCGCUCUUACUGGCUGCCUCGCUUUUGCUCUCUUUGUUACCACCCCUUUGUAUAUCGGCCUGAUCACACUUGCAAG
rnacentral:misc_RNA from 1 species